UACGUAGGGUGCAAGCGUUGUCCGGAAUUAUUGGGCGUAAAGAGCUCGUAGGCGGUUUGUUGCGUCGGCUGUGAAAACCUGAGGCUCAACCUCAGGCCUGCAGUCGAUACGAGCAGACUAGAGUGUUGCAGGGGAGACUGGAAUUCCUGGUGUAGCGGUGAAAUGCGCAGACAUCAGGAGGAACACCGGUGGCGAAGGCGGGUCUCUGGGCAACAACUGACGCUGAGGAGCGAAAGCGUGGGGAGCGAACAGG
rnacentral:rRNA from 1 species